rnacentral:rRNA from 1 species
GGCGAACGCUGGCGGUGUGCUUAACACAUGCAAGUCGAACGGUAAGGCCCUUUCGGGGGUACACGAGUGGCGAACGGGUGAGUAACACGUGAGUAACCUGCCCUCAUCUCUGGGAUAACAGUCGGAAACGGUUGCUAAUACUGGAUAUGAGCCUGCAAGGCAUCUUGUGGGUUGGAAAGAUUUUUUGGUUGGGGAUGGACUCGCGGCCUAUCAGCUUGUUGGUGAGGUAGUGGCUCACCAAGGCUUCGACGGGUAGCCGGCCUGAGAGGGCGACCGGCCACAUUGGGACUGAGAUACGGCCCAAACUCCUACGGGAGGCAGCAGUGGGGAAUAUUGCACAAUGGACGGAAGUCUGAUGCAGCAACGCCGCGUGCGGGAUGACGGCCUUCGGGUUGUAAACCGCUUUCAAUUGUGACGAAGCUUUUUGUGACGGUAGCAGUAGAAGAAGCACCGGCUAACUACGUG